CGCCGGAGCGCUCGCCUCACGGAGGAGCUCGGGAAUUUUGAAAGACGUUCUGUGGGAGCAGAUGUGAAGACGUGAUCCAGUCUGCUCUCUGCGUCCAGGAAACAGUGCCUGACUAUGAACUAGAUCUUGAAGGAUGAGCACAUGUCUUGUCAACUUAAGAGGAAAACAGUUUCUGGCAGAAAUAAGAGCAUCUGUACAUCAGCUAAGGAUGCGCCCCAUGGUCCCCUCGUUACCAGUCUACUCACAGACUGGAUUUGGAUUCAUUUUUUGAGACAUUGCCUUCCUCAUGUCACUCUCCAACUCCAAAAUUUAUAUUAACUUACUGUCCGAGAGAUAAAGGUCAAAUUUCUUCAACCUGACCCUCAAACUUCUACAUUUUUAUUUGACAAUGAAAUUACUUGUAAUUAAAACUGGUCACCAAAGACUCUUCCUACCCAUCAAAAUGUAAUAAAUGAGAAGUGACUUAAGAGUAA